CUGAAGAUUUAGAUAAGGGAAGAGGAAUAUGUUGCUCUCUGAACUUCAUUGGAAGUAUCUAAAUAUGUGCUUUGGCCAGAUAAAAAGCUAGCAGAGAAAGGACUAUAUGGUUUUAAGACCAUAAGGAACCCUACAGAUUUAAUUAAGUGUGGAUGGGAGACUGUGUAUGAGAUGCAUCCAGGAUGACAUCAUAAAUAUCAUGCAUUUCCAGAACACGAGGGGUGUCUUCAGGAUGGUAGAUCUGACUUGCUCAUGUCAGAGAUGGGAAAUGGAAGUUCAGAGAAGGUAAAUGGUUUUCCUAAGAGCUAAGAGGCACAGAACCACACCCCAAAUCUCCCGUUUUCUCUUCCAGGCAUUUCAUUCUGCUUAGAACCUUGCUUACCAAAUCUGGAGUGGAUACCGGUGUCUUACAAAGCUGCCCUUCUGCUACCUCGCUCUGCUCAUGGGUGUGUUCUGAGGACCAAAUGAAUUAAAGGAUAUGAGCACCUGGGUCAAAGCAAUGAAAGGUAAGUGGUGCUGACUGUUACACUAAUGACCCCCUUUCCAGGCUGCCCUUCUCAGAAAUGCCCCCACUAUCCCUCUGGUUAGUCACACAAGCCCAGACCCUAGAGUCUUCCUUGACACCUUCCUCUUCCACUCGUCCUGUCCCCAAAUUCAAUCCAUCAAAACCUGUCAUUUUAACCUGAACAUUCCCAAAUUUGUCCAUUGUUCUCUAUCUGUCCUGUCACCAACUAUGUUUGAG
rnacentral:lncRNA from 10 species